CACACUAACUCUUCCACACACACAAUGGCUCUAACACACACUAACUCUUACACACACACACUUACUGUUUCUUAUAGUUGCAAAACAGAGGUCCCGCUGCACUGUUGUAGCUUUCCUCCACAGCAGUUGGCCGCCGGGAUAUGAUGUCACUCCUCGCUGUUCCGCCCCCUUCCCUCAGUGGGUGCACGUUUCUCAGCCAGCUGAUUAGAUUGCUGCAGAAAUUGACCGGCGGGAGCGGAGUUCUCCGUGCUCCCGCCAGUCACUCGGACAUUUUUGCGCCCCUUGGGUCCGUGCGCCCUAAGGCUGCCGCUUGUGCCGCCUUAUGGUAGCGCCGGCCCUGCCCCUAGAGGCUGUCUACCAGACAACCACUAGAGGCGCUUCCUGCAGUUUCACAGAUUUUAACUGCAUGAAAUGACUCUGGACGUCCUCAUUAAGGAUUAAGUCAAUGUGCUGUGCAUGCGCAUUAGGUUCAUGGAUUGUGUUGUCGUCGUUGUCAGAAUGCAAUCCAGUGCCAAGAGACCUCGACGCUGGAACCAGGUAAGUGAUUAAAAGGGUUUUUAACCUUUUCAAGGCUGGGGGGGCCGCGGAGGCAGAGAGACUCUGUGUUCCUUUAAGUUGUAUUGGUACCUGGAGUGUUCCAUUAAAGUACUGGACUUAUAUCUUUGUGAAUGAUGAUUCUUAACCACUGAACACAAUUCAGGAUAACAUUCCAACAAUGACUGAAGUUGUUUUGAUGGCAAAUUGCAGCUUUACUCUUUAUUAGACCUUUCACAUGACUAUAUAUUUUUCAAUUUUUACCCACUUACUUUAUUUGUUCAACUCUCCUAUAUGCUGCAC